rnacentral:misc_RNA from 1 species
UCCUGAUGUUGACCGGUAACUCAUUCCACAGUCUGAUGGCAUUAACUACACAAAACCAGAUUUAUGAGAAGGUAUGCAUAGAGUAAGGUUAAGAGAAGAACGAAGAUCCCUAGAAUGAGUGUUAGAGAGAAAAUUAAAUUCAGAUUUUAAAUAAGAAGGAGCAAAAGGGUCUUAGGUUCUUCACAGAUCUUAGGUUUUUAAUUUUAGUUUUAAUUAUUUUCAUUGUUAAACUUGAAUCAUUCAUGUCCUUUAAUAAAG